rnacentral:lncRNA from 1 species
AGGAUAAGCGACGUUGGGGCAGGUCCUGGGGAGAGUCCAGGUUGGCGGUUCCUGGGGCGGGGCCAGGAUAGGGCGAUCCUGGAAGCUGGGCUUCGGAAGCGUGCAGCGCCUACCAUGUGCCUGACAAGGGAUAUGUAACGCUGUUGUUCCACACCAGAACCAAAUGAGCGCAAGAUCUGACAAAAAAAAAAGUCCCUGUAUCCUGAGAUGGAGUCACCUGAGAAUCCACAGCAAGUCCUAACCAGGGAUGGGUCUGGGUGAUUAAGGAAGAUUGGCUUCAGAACUGGGCCAGGGGCACUGCUUUGCUUUUGCUGUUUUGAUCAGCUCUCUGCCUGCAGGAGACGAGGAAAACCAAUGGGAACAGAAACUCCUAGAGGGCAGAGGCAUGCCUGCCAUCUUCAUCAUUGCAUUACCAUCACCCAACACUAUCAGGGGACCUGCCCUGAUAUUCAGAAUGAUGGCAGCAGCCCAUAUGGGGGGCCCGCCCAUGAUGCCAAUGAUGGGUCCUAAUACUCCUGGGAUGAUGCCAGUGGGACCUGCUCCUGGAAUGAGGCCGCCCCUAGGAGGCCACAUGCCCAUGAUUCCUAGGUACCCAAUGAUGAGAUCUCCUGCCCGUCUCAUGAUGGUGCCCAGUCAGCCCAGAAUGACUCGGCCAGACAGAUAAGGAUAGAGGGGAGGCCUCAUUGCAUCAGUGUUGUUUUCUUGUUGUUAUUGUUGUGUUUUUUUUUGUUUGUAAUGUUUUGCUUUAUUUUUGAGACAGAGUCUUCCUCUGUCGCCCAGGCUGGAGGGCAGUGGCAUGAUCUCAGCUCACUGAAACCUCCACCUCCCGGAUUCAAGCGAUUUCCCUGCCUCAGCCUCCUGAGUAGUGUGGGACUACAGGCGUGUGCACCAUGCCCGGCUAAUUUUUUUUUUAUUUUAGUAGAAACGGGGUUUCACCAUGUUGGCCAGGAUGGUCUCAAUCUCCUGACCUCGUGACCCGCUCGCCUCAGCCUCCGAAAGUGCUGGGAUUACAGGUGUGGGCCACUGCGCCUGGCCUAUAUGAAUUUUAUAUUUACCUGCUCCCUUCACCAGGAGAUCAUGCUGCUGUGAUAUCGGGUUUUCUUAACAGCAUAAGGAAGACUUGCCCCCUUGCCCUAUCAAAGAGAAUAGUUUUGGAAGGGAGAAGUGGGGCCAAAAAAGACGCAGUUUUCAUUUGUAUUGGGAAAUGUGAAAAUAAAAUUGCCAACUGCUUUAGUUAAAAACAAAAAAAAGAAAAGGAAACAAGAUGUGGGGCUGCCAUAUGCAAUACCGUGGAUUCUACAGAUCUUCUACUCUGGAGGCAAAUAUUAUCUUCGCUGAAGCCAGACCAACCUGACACAAAGGCCUUUUGGUUUUUUAAUGUGACUGUGUUUUAUUUUAGAAUGUGUAAUUCACUUUAGAAGGGCAAAGUACCUGUCUGGGGAAGACUAUUUAAUUUCCUGCAUUUAUUUAGAAUGCUGGCUGAUGUUAUUAUGAAGGGAAACAGCUCUAACAACUGAGUGUCCCCCACAUAGACACAGCUCAUGAGUUCAAGGGGCAAAGGAAUUGAACAGCAGCCUCCUAAUAGCCGGCCUUCUUUGUGAUGCGGAAAUAAUUAUCAGCAUGUAAAAGACUAUAUAUAUAUUCAACAAUUCUGACACCCUGCAAAAUUCAAAUCUACAACUGAUUUGCUUCCUGGGCUCCUGAAAACAACUUUGUCAAAAUUGUUCAGAAAUAUAAUCAGCCAAUCGUUGCCCCUUGGGGACGCAGGAUAAAGCAAGUCAGCCAUGACCAAUGUGGAGUCGGCCGUGCACAAUGACAUGCAGACUUGCAGGACAUCGAGUCCCUGCUAUGGUCCCUCCCCAGUCAGGCCCCCAUUGCCUGGGCUGCAGCCAGAAGCAUUCAGGCACAAGUGCAUUCAACAAAUACUUAUUUAAUUGUAUUGGUGGUUAGAGGGUUGCGAUUGAUUAAGGUACAUUAAUGGAUCCAUGUCCUCCCUGUAUCCAAGACUCUGCCAUUUGUCUCUGCAGUUCCUCCCACUGAAGAAUCGGAGUAUAUUUCUCCAGUCCCUAAUGUUGGGUUUUGAAUUGUGUCUAGCUUUGGCCACUGGAAUAUUAAUCUGUAUGACCAAAAACUUGGAAAGUGUGAAUUCAUUUGUGCUCGCUCACUCCUGCUAUCACCAUGAGAACAAGCCUAGGCCAGGCUGCUGCUUCCAGCAGAAGAUAAGAGACACCAAGAGCAAAGUCGAGCUUCCCAGACAUGCUCAUGCUAGACUGACCAAUCCUCAGCUGACCCAUAGAUCCAUGAAAAUAAAUGAUUGUUGUAUUAAGCCACUGAGAUUUGUAGUGACUUGUUAUGCAGCAUUUUGUGACAACAACUAACUGAUACAAGGGUCACUGUCCUUUAUCUCUGUAGAUUUUAACCAAUUUUUAAUAGCUAGAUGGAGAUCAUCUAGUUGCCUUUAUUUAUAAUGAAUAUGACUGUAGAGCUAGUUUGGCCUGACACUACCAGUAACCUACCCAGAAAUUCAGAAAUACUUUCUUCUCCAACCCGCCCCAACCAACCUAUUUUUUGUUUGUUUGUUUUUGGGUUCUCCCUCUUUGCCUAGGCUAGAGUACAAGUGUUACAGUCAGAGCUCACUGUAACCUCAAAAUCCUGGGCUCAAAUGAUCUUGCCCUUCAGCCUCCUAUGUAGCUAAGACUACAGACAUGUGCCACCAUGCCUGGCUAAUUUUUUUAUUCUUUGCAGAGAGAGGGUCUCACUAUAUUGCCCAAGUUGGUUUCAAACUCCUGGCCUCAAGCAGUCCUCCUGCCUCACCCUUCCAAAGUGCUAGGAUUAUAGGCAUGAGCCACCACACCCAGCCUCUUCUUCUUUUUAAAUAGAAACCUUAUUUUAUUCUGACAGUGGGUUGCUUUCUUUUUUCUUUUUUUAAGAAAAAGUUGGCCCAGCCCUAGGGAAUAAAUUUUGACUGCUCUAAACAGGGUUGGCCAACUAUAGACCAAGGGCCAAAUCUGGCCCUCUGACUGUAUAAAUUAAGUUUUACUGGAAUAAAUCCAGGUCCAUCGAUUUAUCCAUUGUCUACAUAUGCUUUUAGGCUACGAUGGCACCACUGCGUCACUACAACAGAGGUUAUCUAGACCAAAAGCCUAAAAUAUUACCGUUUGCCUCUUUAUGGAAAAAGUUUGCCAUUCCCUAGUCUAAGGUUUAGAUUCUGAGCUUAUCAUUUUAGCCUACCCCCACUUACCAGUGACUGGUUCAAAACAAGUCUGUGAUUCCAUUCUGACUGUUCUACUGAGGGAAUUCCCCCUUCUUCUCAUGCAGAGUUGAUGAGGGUAAGUUGUAUUAAUAGGACAUAUGCUUAGGUUUUCUGAAAAAUACUUUUAUCUAGAAAUGCAUAGGAAUAUGCUGGUGCCUGAAUGUACCAUCUGGGGGCCUGGAGAUUGACUCACCUGCCUCCAGAGCUAGUGCUCACACUUACUACUGAGAGACCUGAGGAAACGCCUGCCUACCCACCACCAGAACCUGCAUACGUCACCUGGAGAACUAGAGAUCAGACUGCCACACACACCACCCAGGAGCCCAGAGGUGCACCUGCCCACUUGGCCCAGUGCUGCCACUGCCAGCAAGCAAAGAAGCCACCUGGGAGCCCAGGGAUUGGCCCACGCAAACAGGCUAUCAUCAGUGUCCACAAACACUGCCCAUGGUCCCUAGUAUUGACACACCUGGUCCACCAGCACUACCACUGAUGCUGAAGGACAAGACUUCCUGGCAUCCCCAUCCUCAGCAAAGCCUCACCACAGCCUCCAAUAACAACUACAGUCUGGCCAAGUGUGGUGGCUCACGCCUGUAAUCCCAGCACUUUGAGAGGCCGAGGCGGGUAGAUCACGAGGUCAGAAGUUCGAGAGCAGCCUGGUCAACAUGGUGAAACCCCGUCCCUACUAAAAAUACAAAAAUUAGCUGCGCAUUGUAGCACGUGCCUAUAGUCCCAGCUACUCAGGAGGCUGAGGCAGGAGAAUUGCUUGAACCUGGGAGGCAGAAGUUGCAGUGAGCUGAGAUUGUGCCACUGCACUCCAGCCUGGUGACAGAGCUAGACUCCAUCUCAACAACCACAAAAAACAUACUGCAGUCUAAGCCACGGAAUGACUCACAGGCACCACUCAUGCCAAUUACAGCUGAAGGAAUCAUAUGCAGACUAUACCACUGUACCCACCCAGAAUCAAAGCCAAAGUGAGAUAUCCAAUGAACACUGUAGAUACAGCUAUAAGAAAAGGUCUUUCCCAUAUAAAAGCCAAUCCAUAAAAUUGGAAGAAAUGACUGUUAUCUCAGAGGCACAGAUAGUCACAUAAGGAUGCAAGAAAUAUGAAAAAGGAAACAUAACAUCUCCAAAGAAGCACAAUAAUUCUCCAGCAACAGAUCCAAUGAAAAGAAAAUCUAUGAAAUGCCUGAA